rnacentral:rRNA from 1 species
GCUCAGAUUGAACGCUGGCGGCAUGCCUUACACAUGCAAGUCGAACGGCAGCGCGGGAGCAAUCCUGGCGGCGAGUGGCGAACGGGUGAGUAAUACAUCGGAACGUGCCCAAUCGUGGGGGAUAACGCAGCGAAAGCUGUGCUAAUACCGCAUACGAUCUACGGAUGAAAGCAGGGGAUCGCAAGACCUUGCGCGAAUGGAGCGGCCGAUGGCAGAUUAGGUAGUUGGUGAGGUAAAGGCUCACCAAGCCUUCGAUCUGUAGCUGGUCUGAGAGGACGACCAGCCACACUGGGACUGAGACACGGCCCAGACUCCUACGGGAGGCAGCAGUGGGGAAUUUUGGACAAUGGGCGCAAGCCUGAUCCAGCCAUGCCGCGUGCAGGAUGAAGGCCUUCGGGUUGUAAACUGCUUUUGUACGGAACGAAACGGCCUUUUCUAAUAAAGAAGGCUAAUGACGGUACCGUAAGAAUAAGCACCGGCUAACUACGUGCCAGCAGCCGCGGUAAUACGUAGGGUGCAAGCGUUAAUCGGAAUUACUGGGCGUAAAGCGUGCGCAGGCGGUUAUGUAAGACAGUUGU